rfam:Ipomoea nil DNA, scaffold: scaffold0869, cultivar: Tokyo-kokei standard.
GUACUGGCUGUGAUGUCCAAAACUACCUAUUUUAUGAGAGAAUUCACUUCAAUUCUCUUGUGAUUAUAAAACCAAUGGAUCCUCUGAGCCUACUC